CAGCCGCCGCGGUAAUACCAGCCCCGCGAGUGGUCGGGACGGUUAUUGGGCCUAAAGCGCCCGUAGCCGGCCCGGCAAGUCCCUCCUUAAAGCCUCGGGCCCAACCCGAGGACGGGGGGGAUACUGCCGGGCUAGGGGGCGGGAGAGGCCGGCGGUACUCCCGGGGUAGGGGCGAAAUCCGUUAAUCCCGGGAGGACCACCAGUGGCGAAGGCGGCCGGCUGGAACGCGCCCGACGGUGAGGGGCGAAAGCCGGGGGAGCGAACCGGAUUAGAUACCCGGGUAGUCCCGGCUGUAAACGAUGCGGGCUAGCUGUUGGGCGGGCUUAGAGCCCGCCCAGUGGCGCAGGGAGGCCGUUAAGUCCGCCGCCUGGGGAGUACGGCCGCAAGGCUGAAACUUAAAGGAAUUGGCGGG
rnacentral:rRNA from 1 species